CGAGGAAUCAAUCAACGCGAUAGAGAGAGAAGAGAUAAAGGGGGAAUAAAAAAGACAUCUCCUGCUUGCAUACGUAAAAUAGCUCUGCAGAAUCUCAUAUCCAGAGAGAGAGAGAGAGGAAUGCACGGAUGCAAGUGUUUUCUGGGAUUAUCAUACUUGUUCACUGAAUCAAAAAUAAAUGAAUGACACGUUUUAUCUGAAGAUCAUUUCUGCUGCUGGAUUCUCGCUUAUUUUUAUUUCUUAGCCCUUCUUAAAUCUUGCUGUACAAAGCCAUUCUUAACUCUUGCUGUACAGAGCCAUUCUCAUGGCUGGUAGUAAUGAAGUCAAGCAAAAUGAAUCCAAGAGGGUAGUUCCGCUGAACACAUGGGUCCUCAUCUCUAAUUU
rnacentral:misc_RNA from 1 species